AAUUGCACAAUUGACUGCUUUCUAACGAAAAUGUAUUUUAUGUGAAGACCAUCUGUUCCAUAUCUUCGAAACUGUAGUCUAAUAAUCAAGCUAGCUUUGAGUCAGGGAUCAACAUGGCAGCUCUCGGGAAAGCUCGCUUCUUGCUUCAACACAAAUGCAGUGUUUAUAAACUAAGUGGAUGUAGAUGUUUUUCAGUUCAGUCAGUGAGACAUUCUGAGUCGAAGAGUCCAGUUGGUUUCAUAGGUCUGGGCAAUAUGGGUGGUCCCAUGGCAAAGAAUCUCAUCAAGAAUGGCUACAAUG